UACGGAGGGGGCUAGCGUUGUUCGGAAUUACUGGGCGUAAAGGGCGCGUAGGCGGUGUGUCAAGUCAGGCGUGAAAGCCCCGGGCUCAACCUGGGAACCGCGCUUGAGACUGGCACGCUAGAGUUCGGGAGAGGAUGGUGGAAUUCCCAGUGUAGAGGUGAAAUUCGUAGAUAUUGGGAAGAACACCGAUGGCGAAGGCAGCCAUCUGGACCGACACUGACGCUGAGGCGCGAAAGCGUGGGGAGCAAACAGG
rnacentral:rRNA from 1 species